UACGUAGGGCGCAAGCGUUGUCCGGAAUUAUUGGGCGUAAAGAGCUCGUAGGCGGUCUGUCGCGUCUGCCGUGAAAACCCGAGGCUUAACCUCGGGCUGGCGGUGGAUACGGGCAGACUAGAGGUAGGUAGGGGAGAACGGAAUUCCUGGUGUAGCGGUGAAAUGCGCAGAUAUCAGGAGGAACACCGGUGGCGAAGGCGGGUCUCUGGGCCGAUACUGACGCUGAGGAGCGAAAGCGUGGGGAGCGAACAGG
rnacentral:rRNA from 1 species